AAGUCGUAACAAGGUUUCCGUAGGUGAACCUGCGGAAGGAUCAUUACAGUAUUCUAUUGCCUGCGCUUAAUUGCGCGGCGAUAAACCUUACACACAAUGUUUUUUUUAUAUGAACUAUUACUUUGGUUUGGCUAAGAAAUUAGUUGAGCCAAAGAUUUAUUAAACUUCAAUUUUAUUGAAUUGUUAUUUUAAAUUUUUGUCAAUUUGUUGAUUAAAUUCAAAACAAUCUUCAAAACUUUCAACAACGGAUCUCUUGGUUCUC
rnacentral:misc_RNA from 1 species